rnacentral:misc_RNA from 1 species
GAUGAAGAACGCAGCGAAAUGCGAUAAGUAAUGUGAAUUGCAGAAUUCAGUGAAUCAUCGAAUCUUUGAACGCACAUUGCGCCCCCUGGUAUUCCGGGGGGCAUGCCUGUCCGGGCGUCAUUACAACCCUCAAGCUCAGCUUGGUGUUGGGCCCCGCCGCCCCGGCGGGCCCUAAAGUCAGUGGCGGUGCCGUCCGGCUCCGAGCGUAGUAAUUCUUCUCGCUCUGGAGGUCCGGUCGUGUGCUCGCCAGCAACCCCCAAUUUUUUUCAGGUUGACCUCGGAUCAGGUAGGGAUACCCGCUGAACUUAAGCAUAUCAAUAAGCGGAGGA